UCCUGGCUGGCUCAGCCGGUGGAGCACGCGACUCUUGAUCUCAGGGUUGUGAGUUCGAGCCCCACGCCGGGCA
rnacentral:tRNA from 1 species